rnacentral:lncRNA from 1 species
CCUUCUCCUCUUCGUCUUUUACUUUUAAUGAAUAGAUUGAUGGAAUAAUCCUUUUAUUUACGUAGGAUAAAAUUUUAAACUCAUGCAGUUUUUGAGCAGUAGAUUAUUAGGUUAGGGACACUUUAAAUUUAAAUCAAUAUCUAAACAACUUUUAAAAACCCCAGUAUUUCAUUUUGAAUAAUUACUGCCCUACAAACUAAACCAUUAUCCAUUUACAUAAUCUUCUUUGAAUUACAUGUUUGUAUUUUUGACAGGUGUUGAGUUGGCUGACUGUGUUCCCUGGGUAUCCACUGGUAGAUUGGUUCCAGGAGCCCCUGAAAAUACCAAAAUUCAGGAAUGUUCAAGUCCCGUGUAGAAAAUGGCACAUCCAGACUGUUAGUUUUGCUUCGCAAGACCAAGAACACCAGCAUUUCUCCUGAUGCCUGUGCAGAGACUACAACAAGCCACUGCUAUUGCGAAAAAAGGAGUAAAAAAGGAGAAUUGUGAAAAAAGUUAUUAUCUUUGAAAGAUUAACUUUGAAGCUAAGGAUUUCAGCUCAUAUUGGUAUUGUUUGGCCAUGGCAUAGUCCGAAGAGCUUAUAUGUUGAAUGAUGAAUGUCUCAGAUACCUAGACAGUUUGCUGUAAGGUGUUAAGGCAGCCUUGCUAUUAGGAAUCAUAUUCAAAGAGUGGCAAACACAAGAAGGUCCCUUGUACAGCAUCUGUUCUCAAGUGUCUUCUUCCAAACCUUUCACUACUUCAAACGUAGAAUCUAAAUACCAUUUCUAGCCGCUGUCUAGACAGGGCUGGCUGCUUCAUUAAACUCUGUCCCGGAGCACGUAAACGGCAGUUUGCUGGGAGGAGUGUCCUUUUGCAGACACAAAGUCCACUUGCGGGAAAGCUCUUGCGCCCUCCUACAGCCUCUCCUUGAGGCCUCAGAGACGCGACCCCUGGAGGUGCGACAGGAAACACGAGGACUAGGGCAAGAAAACAGUGGCCGGCAGGCUCUGAGAUGACGUUCUUAACUAGCUGCACUUUCCUCCGUCUCCCUCCUUCAGGGCUUCGGGUGAGAAGAGAAAAUAAUCUCACGUGUUUCGAUGUGCUGCCCAGCAGUGUCCUAUCGCUGGCAGUAGAUCACAGUCCUGGCUGAUACACGAAAACAACCCUCGGCCCAUUCGUCAUGAGGAAUAGUAUCCCCUGUACAGACUCCUCCGACACUCUUCGACACGAUAGACAAUAAGCUGUAGUUAUUUAGGUUACAUCUGUUCAUAUCUUUACUAAAUGCAUCUGAGACGUAGUUUUCAGCAGAGAAAAUGCCAGUGUGAGCAAACGAACACGCU